rnacentral:rRNA from 1 species
CCUUUUGUAGAAUGAACCGGCGAGUUACGAUUUGAUGCAAGGUUAAGCAGUAAAUGUGGAGCCGUAGCGAAAGCGAGUCUGAAUAGGGCGUUUAGUAUUUGGUCGUAGACCCGAAACCAGGUGAUCUACCCUUGGUCAGGUUGAAGUUCAGGUAACACUGAAUGGAGGACCGAACCGACUUACGUUGAAAAGUGAGCGGAUGAACUGAGGGUAGCGGAGAAAUUCCAAUCGAACCUGGAGAUAGCUGGUUCUCUCCGAAAUAGCUUUAGGGCUAGCCUCAAGUGAUGAUUAUUGGAGGUAGAGCACUGUUUGGACGAGGGGCCCCUCUCGGGUUACCGAAUUCAGACAAACUCCGAAUGCCAAUUAAUUUAACUUGGGAGUCAGAACAUGGGUGAUAAGGUCCGUGUUCGAAAGGGAAACAGCCCAGACCACCAGCUAAGGUCCCAAAAUAUAUGUUAAGUGGAAAAGGAUGUGGCGUUGCCCAGACAACUAGGAUGUUGGCUUAGAAGCAGCCAUCAUUUAAAGAGUGCGUAAUAGCUCACUAGUCGAGUGACACUGCGCCGAAAAUGUACCGGGGCUAAACAUAUUACCGAAGCUGUGGAUUGUCCUUUGGACAAUGGUAGGAGAGCGUUCUAAGGGCGUUGAAGCAUGAUCGUAAGGACAUGUGGAGCGCUUAGAAGUGAGAAUGCCGGUGUGAGUAGCGAAAGACGGGUGAGAAUCCCGUCCACCGAUUGACUAAGG